GAUGAACGCUGGCGGCGUGCCUAAUACAUGCAAGUCGAGCGAACAGAUAAGGAGCUUGCUCCUUUGACGUUAGCGGCGGACGGGUGAGUAACACGUGGGUAACCUACCUAUAAGACUGGGAUAACUUCGGGAAACCGGAGCUAAUACCGGAUAAUAUUUCGAACCGCAUGGUUCGAUAGUGAAGGAUGGUUUUGCUAUCACUUAUAGAUGGACCCGCGCCGUAUUAGCUAGUUGGUAAGGUAACGGCUUACCAAGGCGACGAUACGUAGCCGACCUGAGAGGGUGAUCGGCCACACUGGAACUGAGACACGGUCCAGACUCCUACGGGAGGCAGCAGUAGGGAAUCUUCCGCAAUGGGCGAAAGCCUGACGGAGCAACGCCGCGUGAGUGAUGAAGGUCUUCGGAUCGUAAAACUCUGUUAUUAGGGAAGAACAUACGUGUAAGUAACUGUGCACGUCUUGACGGUACCUAAUCAGAAAGCCACGGCUAACUACGUG
rnacentral:rRNA from 1 species